rnacentral:rRNA from 1 species
AACCUACCCUUGGGACCGGGAUAACCCCGGGAAACUGGGGACAAUACCGGAUAGGUCAUAGACGCUGGAAUGCACUUUGACCUAAAGCGAAAGCGCCCAAGGAUGGGUCUGCGGCCCAUCAGGCUGUUGUCAGUGUAACGAACUGACAAACCUAUAAUGGGUACGGGCACUGAGAGGUGAAGCCCGGAGAUGGGUUCUGAGACAUGAACCCAGGGUCUACGGACCGCAGCAGGCGCGAAACCUUUGCAAUGCGGGAAACCGCGACAGGGGAACUCCGAGUGUCUGCACCUAGUGCAGACUUUUCAGAUGCCUAAAAAGCAUCUGGAAUAAGGGCCGGGUAAGACGGGUGCCAGCCGCCGCGGUAACACCCGCGGCCCGAGUGGUGGUCGUUUUUAUUGGGUCUAAAGGGUUCGUAGCCGGCUCAGCAAGUCCUUUGGGAAAUCCGGCGGCUUAACUGUCAGGCUUCUAAGGGAUACUACUGGGCUUGGGACCGGGCGAGGGUAGAGGUACUCCGGGGGUAGCGGUGAAAUGCUGUAAUCCCUGGGGGGCCA